UUCUGCAAGGGGCAGGAGGGGUCAGCAAGGAGUAGGAAAGGACAGCAAUGAGCUGUCCUUUCCUACUCUGUCCUUUCCUACUCUGUCCUGUCCUUUCCUGCUCAUUGCUGUCCUUUCCUACUCCUUGCUGACCCCUCCUGCCCCUUGCAAGGA